rnacentral:miRNA from 1 species
CCGGUCCCAGGAGAACCUGCAGA